rnacentral:rRNA from 1 species
AGUGAACGCUGGCGGUAGGCCUAACACAUGCAAGUCGAACGGCAGCACAGUAAGAGCUUGCUCUUACGGGUGGCGAGUGGCGGACGGGUGAGGAAUACAUCGGAAUCUACUUUUUCGUGGGGGAUAGCGUAGGGAAACUUACGCUAAUACCGCAUACGACCUACGGGUGAAAGCAGGGGAUCUUCGGACCUUGCGCGAUUGAAUGAGCCGAUGUCGGAUUAGCUAGUUGGCGGGGUAAAGGCCCACCAAGGCGACGAUCCGUAGCUGGUCUGAGAGGAUGAUCAGCCACACUGGAACUGAGACACGGUCCAGACUCCUACGGGAGGCAGCAGUGGGGAAUAUUGGACAAUGGGCGCAAACCUGAUCCAGCCAUACCGCGUGGGUGAAGAAGGCCUUCGGGUUGUAAAGCCCUUUUGUUGGGAAAGAAAAGCAGCAGGUUAAUACCCCGCUGUUCUGACGGUACCCAAAGAAUAAGCACCGGCUAACUUCGUG